rnacentral:rRNA from 1 species
UACGUAGGUGGCAAGCGUUGUUCGGAAUUACUGGGCGUAAAGCGCGUGUAGGCGGCUCUUCAAGUCAGAUGUGAAAGCCCCGGGCUUAACCUGGGAACUGCGUUUGAAACUGGGGAGCUAGAGUGUAGAAGAGGGGGGUGGAAUUCCAGGUGUAGCAGUGAAAUGCGUAGAGAUCUGGAGGAAUACCGGUGGCGAAGGCGGCAUCCUGGACCGAGAUUGACACUGAUGAGCGAAAGCUAGGGGAGCAAACGGG